AUACUUACCUGGCAGGGGAGAUACCACGAUCUUGACGGUGCUUUUCCCAGGCGAGGUUUAUCCAUUACACUCCGCAUCUGCUCACCCCUGAUAUUUCCCAAAUGUGGGAAACUCGACUGCAUAAUUUGUGGUAGUGUGGGACUGCGUUCGCGCUCUCUCCUG